rnacentral:rRNA from 1 species
UUCCGGUUGAUCCUGCCGGACCUUACUGCUAUCGAGAUGGGACUAAGCCAGGCCAGUCGAACGACCCGAACUAAGGCGGGAAGUGGCAUACUGCUCAGCAACACGUAGCUAACCUAACCUCAAGACGGAAACAACCCCGGGAAACUGGGGUCAAUUUCCGAUAGAUGUGAAAUCCUGGAAUGGUAUCACAUCCAAACGUCACCACACCAUGUUGUGCGAACGCUUGAGGAUGGGGCUGCGGCCGAUCAGGCUGUUGGUGGGGUAAUGGCCCACCAAGCCUUUGACCGGUACGGGCCAUGAGAGUGGUAGCCCGGAGAUGGACACUGAGACAAGGGUCCAGGCCCUACGGGGCGCAGCCGGUACGAAACCUCCACAAUGCACGCAAGUGCGAUGGGGUUAUCUCGAGUGCUACCUUAACCGGUAGCUUUUCCAUUGUCUAAAUAGCCGUGGGAAUAAGGGGGGGGCAAGACUGGUGUCAGCCGCCGCGGUAACACCAGCCCCCCGAGUGGUAGGGAUGAUUAUUUGGCCUAAAGCGUCCGUAGCCUGCUAGGUAAAUUUCUCGUUAAAUCCAACGUCCUAAGCGUUGGGCCGCGUGAAAAACUGCCAAGCUAGAGGGUGGGAGAGGUCAGCGGUAUUCCUGGGGUAGGGGCGAAAUCCAUUGAACCCAGGAGGACCACCAGUGGCGAAGGCUGCUGACUAGAACACGCCUGACGGUCAGGGACGAAAGCUGGGGUAGCGAAUCGGAUUAGAUACCCGAGUAGUCCCAGCCGUAAACGAUGCAGACUAGGUGUUGGGUUGGCCACGUGCCGACUCAGUGCCACAGGGAAGCCAUUAAGUCUGCCGCCUGGGAAGUACGGCCGCAAGGCUGAAACUUAAAGGAAUUGGCGGGGGAGCACCACCAGGCGUGAAGCCUGCGGUUUAAUUGGAGUCAACGCCGGA